CCCCGCCCUCACCCGGCUCUCGGUAGGGGAUGGUCUCGGCCCAGGCGCUCGGCUCCUCGUCCUGGAUGUCCAGGACCCUGUCGAUGGACUUCUGGGCCUGGGACAGGGCCUGCUUCGCGAAGCUGGAGAGCUGGGAGGCGUUGAACCAACUCAUCUCCCGUCCUCAGCCGGCAGUGGCGGCGGCAGCACCGAGCGGGAAGGCCGAGGGCCAGGCCGACCGGCCUCAGGCCCGGGGAGGGGUGCGGCGGGACGGCCUCGCCCCCUCCUGCCCUCGGCGAGCCCUGUCAGCGGCUGGCCAUGACCCCGGCCGUCUCCCCCGACCGAGCCCGGGAGGUUGCGCUCAGCCCUUCCCGCACAGCUGAGGGGGGAAGGCCCGGCCUGCGCAUGCGCCGGCCUCGUCCACGUCCACAGCCACCAAAUCCGGGAGCCCAGAGUUCCGUCAACGGACGGAAGAGCGGGCGGGACGUGACGUCACAUCCGGGACCCGAGGAUUGCCAUUAGUUACGGAGAACGCGGAACUGCUGCUGGGGAGGCCGGUGCCAGGCGUAGCGCGCAAACAUCCGGCCGCCGGGGCCGCGGUGGAGCCCUCCGGGAGGCUCCUUCCUAGAAACUAGCUCACGCACGGAGAGCUGACGCCUUGCCAGCAAGAGUUGCGAACGGAGGCAGUUUGGCCUCGCCUAUUAGCGCUUUGUCUCAAAUAUUUAAUCAGUCCGGUGUUAACGUGGCCUUCAGGAGGAACCCUGGGCUUGGGUUUGCCUCAAAAUACCGGGCGUUGUAUAAAAGGCCAGAUCCAACCCGCCUGAUGACGGACAUCUUUGAAAACUGAGGAAUGCAUUCUUUGACCAAAGGAACAAAAUUCAGACGCAAAAGAGUGCUCGCCUCCUCCUUUGAAAGAAGCAAUAUAUUUGCUCAUUAUCUUUCUCUCCAGGCAUCAUUUCCCAUACUGUUAAUGAAAAUGUUUACAAGUACCAACCCUAAAAUUCUGUCUUCAAGGGGCCCUUCACAAAACAAAGUUUUUAAUUUUGAUAGAGUUCAAUUCAUCAAUUUUUUUCUUGUAUGGAUCACACUUUUUUGAUGUAGUCUAAGGACUCUUCACCAAGCCAUAUAUCACAAAGAUUUUCUCCUACACUGUCAUCUAAAGUUUUACUGUUUUACAUUUUAUAUUAAACCUACAAUGCAUUUUAAGUUAAUUUUUGCAAUUUUGAGGUUUGAGUUGGGAUUCAUAUUUUUGCCUCCAGUGGCUCCACCACAAUUUGUUGAAGAAAUUAUCCUUUCUUCCAUUGAACUGUUUUUGCCAUUUCGUCAAACAUCAAUAUUUGCCUGCAGCUAUUUCUGGUUUCUUUGUUCUACUGAUGUGUCUCUCUGCUAACACCACAUGGUCCUGAUAUUGUAGCUAUAGUAAGUCUUGAAAUUAUACAGCGAUUCCUCCCACUUUAUUCUUUAUCAGAUUUGUUUUAGAUAUUCCUUCACCUUUCCAUAAAUUUUAGGACAAUUUUGUAUCAACAAAAAGUUCUGCAGGGAUUUUAAUAGAAAUUGUAUUAAACUUGUAUACAAAUCUAGGGAGACAUGACAUCCUUACUAUGUCAAAUCGCCCAAUUCUUGAACAGAGCAUCUUUACAUUUAUUUAGACCUUCUUUGAUUUCCUUCAUCAGUACUUUGUAGUAUUCAGCAUACAGGUCUUAUACUUAUUUUAUAGAUUAACAGUUAAGUAUUCCCCCGCCCUUUUUUUGAGUGAUUGUAAAUGGCACUCAUUUUAUUUUAAAUUUCACUUUCGGGAUCCCUGGGUGGCGCAGCGGUUUAG